CAAGUAUUUGACCAAUCACAGUACAAUGUAUCUUUCAAACUAAUACCCACCCAGCUUGGAGAUAAUGAGGCCAACGGUUAUACAAUCUAAUUAUCUCCAAGCACCCAAAAGACCAUGCUUUAUUACGUUCCAGCAAACAGUAUAAAAAUAUAUAACUUAUAAGUUAUAAGACGAAUAUAGUUCAUUCCAUGCAUCAUUCAGUAGCUCAGAUCUGGAUGCAUUGAGUGUACGAAUUGCGCCCAGAUCCCGCUAACGGAACGGGAGGUUUCUGCUAUAGAAAGUC